CUCACUCCUCUUUCUCAAUCUCACAGUCACAUUCACGACACAGACUGAUAUGAAACCUAUAUCUAAUUGAUUCUCCCAUCUUCUCAAUCGUCUUCAAUCUUCUUUUCAAUCUGGUCGCCUUCUUCAAUCUUCUCCGAGUCACGGACUCUCGUCGGUUUUUGCUGUCAUCGAUCCCCUGCUCGAAGUUUUAACAUGAUGUUGACAUUAGUUCCCAACUCCGACGUUGUAGAAAAAAGUCGCUGGUCGAGGCCGUAGCACAAACUCGACGUCGACUCCUGACCAGUUGCAGAGGAGCACAUGUCCCACCUCUGACUCAUCGACACCAGUUCACCAUUUAUUUCCAUACUCGACAACUCAUCUUGGGUCUCCGAUCUCCGACUUGUCAACACCAGUUCACCUCUGAUUUCCAAACUCGCCAACUCCAUCACCGAUACCAGUUCACCUCCAAUUUCCAGACUCGUCGACUCAUCGAGCAAAGGCAUUAUGUAAGUUUUUGAACCCUGAUUGAAAUUGAUUUGCAAAUCGCAAUUGACAUUGAAAUUGUUUGAAAUUGAAACUAUUUGUAGUUGUAGACUUGGUAACAGAAGGUAUCGUUUUGGUAGUUGUAACAGAAGAUAGUUGUUCUUUCCACAACCGUAUUGUUUUGAUUUGCAAAUGACAAUUGUAUAGCUAAUUUGACAGUAUUGUUCUUUUUGUUUUUGGUUCCAAGCUAUGGUGGAUACAAGAUUGUUUUGAAUAAAAUUAAUAUCUCAUUAUUUAUCGAACAAUUGAUUUCAGAUCAGGAAUAGCUGCUCCUAGUACAACUAUAGAGUCAACUGGUUCAGCUCCUAAAAGGAGUUAGCCUAAUAAGAAAAGGUCAUUGUAUUGGAUUCAUAUGAGUGUGUUGUAGAUGAAAACAUGCUGGAGAAAGCUAAGUGCAAAUACUGCAAGACUCUCAUAUGUGCCAACCGGCCAGUAAUGGAACAUUCAGGUUAAAAGCACACUACAAUAGGUGUUCUAAAAGGUUUGAUGAUGACCAAAUGGUUUUAAAUCUCCAAGGAACUAGAGGAGAUGGUGUGCAAGGGAUUCAGUUUGAGGAUUGAUGCGUGUGUUGUCAAAUCUCAAUUGGUUAUCAGAUGUCUCUUUCCUUGUGUUUUUGGAUAUCUAGUAUUUACUAUGAUGGAUUUUGGAUUGAUGGAUUGUGUUGGUGGUUGAACAUGAACACUUAGAAUGUUAUGUUGAAAGUAAUGAAGCAAGUUCUUUUGAGACGAAAAAAAAUCUAACAAAUUUCUAUUCAAGACAGCCAAGCAAGAAUAAGAAGGGAAACAAUAUUAAACAUAAACCAAAAUCCAUCCAACUCACAUAAAUCAUCAAAGUCAAACAAUCAUCCGUUCAUAAGGAAUUACCUAGGGUUCAUCUAAUCCAAGCACGAGGAGUUUAUCUACUCAUAACUUUGAAGAACAAAUCAAAAUCAACAAAGGAACACAUUGGAAUUAGGUUUACAAGAAGAAAUCCGAAAAACCUUAUUUCCCCGAGAAGGUUGAAGAAAUCGAUCCGUCCAUCUUGAUUAUGUAUUGUGAUCCGAGCUCCUUGAAGUCGAUGUCUUCUCGUAGCUCCAAAGUCUCUGAACUAUUCUCUAAUUUUUGUCUAAAAGUGUCUCUGAAUUAUGAGGGAGAGCUGGGCUUUUAUAGAGAAGGAUUUUGUAAGCCUGACGGACUACCAAAAGUGCGAUGUACGCAGACCAAAAGUGCGCCGCACACUUUUGGUCUUACUUACAGAAACCUCUGUGCUACAAAGUGGUAGAAAAUUGAACUAUAUUUCCAACGCCGCCGGCCUUGCAUCAAUCUGACUUCUGAGCUAGGAGAUAUGUCAAAAAUACAAAACUGCAACGUUUUCCGACCAAGUCGAGAUCCAAACUCCUUGAAGAUGUUGAAAUGCUUCUCAUUGUUUGUCCUUGACCAUCAAUACAUGCCGUAUCACUCCGAUUAAUUCCUCGAUGUUGUCAUGUACCUAAAAUCUAUCAAAAACACUCCAAAACGACUUCAAAUGGACCGACCGAGUCCGAGGCAAUAAAUCGAGAUAAAAUAUUAAAAUUCAUAAAACAUCCUAAACUUCUACCUAAAGCAAUACAAUUAUACAUGAAAUCUCACGAGGGUGAUAUAUGUGACAAAUCUAGUGUCAUCACAUAUCGACCACCAUUACUGGGUCAUUUGAAGUCAAGCUACCUAGCAAUGAGCACAAGGUGCUCGAUAAAAUGCCUAGGUGUUUGGAAUACUUUAAGAGCACUAUAAACACUUGAAAGGGGAUUCUAUGUCACCAUUUACACCCCCAAACUCCCCAUCCCUCAAUCGUGUCACUCAAUUGAGUAAUUUUUGGAAUUCUCACUGAGUGUUUGAUGAAAUAUUCCUACGGCAAUCAUAGCACUAAAGGUUGAAUUGGGGUGUGUGCUUUGUCCACAUACACCGUACUUCAAUCUUGGACUUACUUCUAAGACAUUCUAAUCAUAAUCAUGCAAAGGGAAGGGUUCAUAUAACCUAAUUCAAGCCAUGGAAAAAACUAAAUUGAAACUCCAAAGUCAAAGCAUCAUCAUUAUCAUAAUAAGCAUUCAAUAUGUCCAACCCCUACUCAUGAGGGGAUUAUCCUAGUAACAAUAUUAAUCCUUAAUAUAACAACAUAAAUGGUCUAGCCAAGCAUGAUGAAACUACAAAAAGGAAGAAGAGUUACAAUCACCAUCCUUGCUGAAGGUACAAAAAGGUAAUGAAAUCGUAUUUUGCCAAAAUUUUAUCCCGUCCUACCUGUAGCGGGAGAGUUUCCGACCAAUCUCUGACGAAAUUUACGGCGAGCCUCUAAUGACUUCCAUUCAAAAAGGAAGAAGUUAUUCUCGGAAUCAGAUAUUGUUUUUUAUCUUUUUGUUAUAACUCAAAAAAUAAUAAGGUAAUUACAAGAUGAAUUAUUUGAUGAAAUUAGGCUAAUGGCCUACUAAUAGUUAUUUGGAUGUGUAACUAGUUAUUUGAUCGUAUCACUAGUUACAGAUAGUUAUAGUCGGUUACUAAAUUGUGUAAUCAGUUACAAAUUAUUAUAAUUAUUUAUUAGUACAAUUGGUUACAGAAAAUUAUAAUCGGUUGCUAAGUUGUAUCUACUAAGUCGUGUAACCAGUUGCAGAUGAUUACAACUUGUUACUCGUGUAAUUUGUUACAGAAAAUUAUAAUCGGUAUGUAUGGGGUCAAUGAAAACACAAGUGACGACGAAUCCCCCUAAAAAAUGAAGUGAUGAAGAACUCACUCAAAAACAUCAGUGACCUUGAAAAAGAACACCUUUAAAAAAAAAUCUAAUGUUAUCAAUAUUCCUAUCAUCAGAUUCGUCUUUAAAAAAUACUUAUUUUUCAUAUAAAGAAAAUAAAAAUCAAACGAAGUUAUUACAUCAAAGUUGCUAAAUAACUAUGUUUACCUCAUAAUUGCUAACACCUACCUCAAAGUUGUCAAUAACAACCUUUAAGUUCGUAAUAAUUAUGUGAAGUUCCUUAAUAAUUACGUCUAAGUUCCUCAAAUCACAAUUGAAUGGAACUUCAGAUGGAGGCAGCAACGGUGGAUGAUCGAGAGGAAGAUGUUGGGAAUAGAGAGACCAAGAAGAAUGAGG
rnacentral:lncRNA from 1 species